rnacentral:misc_RNA from 1 species
UCUAACUUGGUGCAUCAAAAAUGAGAAUAUAUUAUAUCUUUAUACCUAUACCAAUAUCGUUAUUAUUGAUCAACGUUGUUUAUGGAGAGGACGUGGAGGACAUUUUACUCUCUCUUGAGGAUUUGAAUGAAAAUGAGCUCCUUAAUUUACUCGAGAAAGUUAAUAAGGAUUAUCCAGCUCAAAACACAACAGAAGUCAUUCCUAAAAUCUCAUCUAACCUCACAAAUCCCUCUGCUGGACAAAUCCAAUCCCAAUCCCAGAGUGUCAUUAACGAAAUACAUAAUCACUAUCAUUACAACCUGGUACUAGCCAAUGGAACCGUCUCGCAGCUACCCUCUCUAUCCUUCCCAUUAGAGGUGCAUAACAUUCUAUCUGUCUUAUCUGGUGAUAAUAAACUCCCCGGAUCUAGAAACGGAACUCAAACAAUUCAGUUAUCAGACAAAUCUCCACCAAUUUCAAUUACGAAAGGGGAUGGUGUCUACAGUUGUGGAGAUACCUCCUAUGGACUCACCACAAAUUUUGUCAAUCCAUCAUACCCUAAAUCAUCCAAAGUUCUUCGUUCCUGCUCCUUCCUAUUAAAAGUUGAAAGAGGGGUGAAGCAAGUUCGAGUGGAUUUGGUGGAUACUCAUUUAGGAUCUCCGGUGGGGGGUGAAUGUGGCAAGAAGGGAGCAUAUUUAAUGAUACGUGGAACAGCAUUUCCCUUGGGAGUAGAUAAAUUUUGUGGGAUAAAUAAAGGUCAACAUUUCUACAUCGAGAUUGACAAUGUCCAAGAGUCGCCCUACAUUGAAUUUAUUAUUGAGCCCACGUAUUCAUUAGAUGAUCGGGAUUCACCAUUUCGAUGGGGCCUUUGGAUUACACAAGUCCUUCCUGGAUCACAAUUAAGUGCACCCCGGGGGUGUUUCCAGUACUAUUUCAAAGAAAUGGACAAUAUCCUUUCGUUUAACUUUGAGGGAUCUCAAUAUUUCAAUAAUCAAUAUUAUAGAAUAUGUAUAACGGCACGAAGGAAUCAAUGUUUCGUCACAUUCAGUUCCAAGGAUGGAGAGUUUGGUCUUGAAAAGUUUGGAAACUAUAAGACCGUGCCUUUUAACCUCUCAGGAAAGGGUAAAUUCUGUGUUCUCAUUCUAAAUUUACCAUCAUAACAGAUGACGUUAUUGGGACCCCAAAUACAGGUAUAUAGCAAAUUAAAAAUUUACUUAUUACAUUUACACAAAGAAAUGCAUCUAAUGACGUCAUCAGAAAGAAAAGACGAGAGAGAGUUACUUAAUAAAUCUGUUGUGUUUGCCAAAAGAUUUUCUUAUUGUCUAACCUUGUUCCAAUAACAUUGGCAAAUAUGCUCUUAUUUUUAAGCACGAGACUAUUUACGCAUCCCCGACUCAUAUGGACAGAAUGGACCUCAAACAGAUGAUAGAUAUUGUGGUGGACGUUUGAAUCCUCUACAUGGAU